rnacentral:rRNA from 1 species
GAUGAACGCUAGCGGCAGGCUUAACACAUGCAAGUCGAGGGGUAUGCCGAUUUAUCGGCAGAGACCGGCGCACGGGUGCGUAACGCGUAUGCAAUCUACCUUUCACAGAGGGAUAGCCCAGAGAAAUUUGGAUUAAUACCUCAUAGUAUUUUUGAAUCGCAUGAUUUGAUUAUUAAAGUUCCAACGGUAAAGGAUGAGUAUGCGUCCCAUUAGCUAGAUGGUAAGGUAACGGCUUACCAUGGCAAUGAUGGGUAGGGUCCUGAGAGGGAGAUCCCCCACACUGGUACUGAGACACGGACCAGACUCCUACGGGAGGCAGCAGUGAGGAAUAUUGGACAAUGGGGCGCAAGCCUGAUCCAGCCAUGCCGCGUGCAAGGAAUAAGGUCCUAUGGAUUGUAAACUG